rnacentral:lncRNA from 1 species
AUAAAUUUUACCGCAAUACACCAAACUAUUAAACAAUUUGGUAUUCUAUAAGGUCAAAAUAAUUUAAAAGAUAGUCUGAACAGAAAAUUCUAGCUUUUUAUUCCUUAAUUAAAUCCUUAAAAUUGACAGAAAUGAGCCAAGCUACCAGUUUGUUGAGACAUGUUUUGAGUGCCCGCAAAAGAAAUAUCCUACAAACCUAUAAAACUGAUAGCAAAACUUU